GCCCGCCUAGCUCAAUCGGAUAGAGCGUCAGACUCUUAACAGUUACUAGGCGAUCUGAAGGCUGCGAGUUCGACCCUCGCGGUGGGCU
rfam:Pisolithus microcarpus 441 unplaced genomic scaffold scaffold_189, whole genome shotgun sequence.